GAUGAAGAACGCAGCGAAAUGCGAAAAGUAGUGUGAAUUGCAGAAUUCAGUGAAUCAUCGAAUCUUUGAACGCACAUUGCGCCCCUUGGUAUCCCGAGGGGCAUGCCUGUUCGAGCGUCAUUUCACCACUCAAGCCUGGCUUGGUGUUGGGCGACGUCCCCUUUGGGGACGCGCCUCGAAACGCUCGGCGGCGUGGCACCGGCUUUAAGCGUAGCAGAAUCUUUCGCUUUGGAAGUCGGGGCCCCGUCUGCCGGAAGACCUACUCGCAAGGUUGACCUCGGAUCAGGCAGGGAUACCCGCUGAACUUAAGCAUAUCAAUAAGCGGAGGA
rnacentral:misc_RNA from 1 species